UACGGGAGGCAGCAGCGGGGAAUAUUGCACAAUGGGCGCAAGCCUGAUGCAGCCAUGCCGCGUGUAUGAAGAAGGCCUUCGGGUUGUAAAGUACUUUCAGUCGUGAGGAAGGUGUUAAGGUUAAUAACCUUAGCAAUUGACGUUAGCGACAGAAGAAGCACCGGCUAACUCCGUGCCAGCAGCCGCGGUAAUACGGAGGGUGCGAGCGUUAAUCGGAAUUACUGGGCGUAAAGGGCACGCAGGCGGUUAAUUAAGUUGGAUGUGAAAUCCCCGGGCUUAACCUGGGAAUGGCAUUCAAGACUGGUUAGCUAGAGUCUUGUAGAGGGGGUUAGAAUUCCAUGUGUAGCGGUGAAAUGCGUAGAGAUGUGGAGGAAUACCGGUGGCGAAGGCGGCCCCUGGACAAAGACUGACGCUCAUGUGCGAAAGCGUGGGGAGCAAAC
rnacentral:rRNA from 1 species